AACGAACGCUGGCGGCAGGCUUAACACAUGCAAGUCGAACGGGUGUAGCAAUACAUCAGUGGCAGACGGGUGAGUAACACGUGGGAACCUUCCUAGGGGUACGGAACAACUCAGGGAAACUUGAGCUAAUACCGUAUACGUCCGUGAGGAGAAAGAUUUAUCGCCCUUAGACGGGCCCGCGUCGGAUUAGGUAGUUGGUGGGGUAACGGCCUACCAAGCCGACGAUCCGUAGCUGAUCUGAGAGGAUGAUCAGCCACACUGGGACUGAGACACGGCCCAGACUCCUACGGGAGGCAGCAGGGGGGAAUCUUGGACAAUGGGCGCAAGCCUGAUCCAGCGAUGCCGCGUGAAUGAAGAAGGCCUUAGGGUUGUAAAGCUCUUUUACCAGGGACGAUAAUGACGGUACCUGGAGAAUAAGCCCCGGCAAACUUCGUGCCAGCCGCCGCAGUAAAAC
rnacentral:rRNA from 1 species